GGCUGGUCCAGUGGUAGUGAAUUAUCAGAACUUACUAACAUUAGUGUCACUAAAGUUGAUGUACAGUCCCCUACUGCUAAAUUUGACUGGCUUUAA
ensembl:misc_RNA Y_RNA Y RNA